rnacentral:rRNA from 2 species
CGGAGGGAAACCGAGUCUUAAUUGGGCGUUAAGUUGCAGGGUAUAGACCCGAAACCCGGUGAUCUAGCCAUGGGCAGGUUGAAGGUUGGGUAACACUAACUGGAGGACCGAACCGACUAAUGUUGAAAAAUUAGCGGAUGACCUGUGGCUGGGGGUGAAAGGCCAAUCAAACCGGGAGAUAGCUGGUUCUCCCCGAAAGCUAUUUAGGUAGCGCCUCGUGAAUUCAUCUCCGGGGGUAGAGCACUGUUUCGGCUAGGGGGCCAUCCCGGCUUACCAACCCGAUGCAAACUGCGAAUACCGGAGAAUGUUAUCACGGGAGACACACGGCGGGUGCUAACGUCCGUCGUGAAGAGGGAAACAACCCAGACCGCCAGCUAAGGUCCCAAAGUCAUGGUUAAGUGGGAAACGAUGUGGGAAGGCCCAGACAGCCAGGAUGUUGGCUUAGAAGCAGCCAUCAUUUAAAGAAAGCGUAAUAGCUCACUGGUCGAGUCGGCCUGCGCGGAAGAUGUAACGGGGCUAAACCAUGCACCGAAGCUGCGGCAGCGACACUGUGUGUUGUUGGGUAGGGGAGCGUUCUGUAAGCCUGCGAAGGUGGCCUGUGAGGGUUGCUGGAGGUAUCAGAAGUGCGAAUGCUGACAUAAGUAACGAUAAAGCGGGUGAAAAGCCCGCUCGCCGGAAGACCAAGGGUUCCUGUCCAACGUUAAUCGGGGCAGGGUGAGUCGACCCCUAAGGCGAGGCCGAAAGGCGUAGUCGAUGGGAAACGGGUUAAUAUUCCCGUACUUGGUGUUACUGCGAAGGGGGGACGGAGAAGGCUAUGUUGGCCGGGCGACGGUUGUCCCGGUUUAAGCGUGUAGGUGUGUGUUCCAGGUAAAUCCGGUUCACUUUAACACUGAGGCGUGACGACGAGGCACUACGGUGCUGAAGCAACAAAUGCCCUGCUUCCAGGAAAAGCCUCUAAGCAUCAGGUAACAUCAAAUCGUACCCCAAACCGACACAGGUGGUCAGGUAGAGAAUACCAAGGCGCUUGAGAGAACUCGGGUGAAGGAACUAGGCAAAAUGGUGCCGUAACUUCGGGAGAAGGCACGCUGACACGUAGGUGAAGUGAUUUACUCAUGGAGCUGAAGUCAGUCGAAGAUACCAGCUGGCUGCAACUGUUUAUUAAAAACACAGCACUGUGCAAACACGAAAGUGGACGUAUACGGUGUGACGCCUGCCCGGUGCCGGAAGGUUAAUUGAUGGGGUCAGCGCAAGCGAAGCUCCUGAUCGAAGCCCCGGUAAACGGCGGCCGUAACUAUAACGGUCCUAAGGUAGCGAAAUUCCUUGUCGGGUAAGUUCCGACCUGCACGAAUGGCGUAAUGAUGGCCAGGCUGUCUCCACCCGAGACUCAGUGAAAUUGAACUCGCUGUGAAGAUGCAGUGUACCCGCGGCAAGACGGAAAGACCCCGUGAACCUUUACUAUAGCUUGACACUGAACAUUGAGCCUUGAUGUGUAGGAUAGGUGGGAGGCUUUGAAGUGUGGACGCCAGUCUGCAUGGAGCCGACCUUGAAAUACCACCCUUUAAUGUUUGAUGUUCUAACGUGGACCCGUUACCCGGGUUGCGGACAGUGUCUGGUGGGUAGUUUGACUGGGGCGGUCUCCUCCUAAAGAGUAACGGAGGAGCACGAAGGUUGGCUAAUCCUGGUCGGACAUCAGGAGGUUAGUGCAAUGGCAUAAGCCAGCUUGACUGCGAGCGUGACGGCGCGAGCAGGUGCGAAAGCAGGUCAUAGUGAUCCGGUGGUUCUGAAUGGAAGGGCCAUCGCUCAACGGAUAAAAGGUACUCCGGGGAUAACAGGCUGAUACCGCCCAAGAGUUCAUAUCGACGGCGGUGUUUGGCACCUCGAUGUCGGCUCAUCACAUCCUGGGGCUGAAGUAGGUCCCAAGGGUAUGGCUGUUCGCCAUUUAAAGUGGUACGCGAGCUGGGUUUAGAACGUCGUGAGACAGUUCGGUCCCUAUCUGCCGUGGGCGCUGGAGAACUGAGGGGGGCUGCUCCUAGUACGAGAGGACCGGAGUGGACGCAUCACUGGUGUUCGGGUUGUCAUGCCAAUGGCACUGCCCGGUAGCUAAAUGCGGAAGAGAUAAGUGCUGAAAGCAUCUAAGCACGAAACUUGCCCCGAG